UGGAGACCUGGACCUGGUUAAGGUAACUGAAUCCAGGAGAAGCCCAGAGGUUUGCCUGGGACAACCCUGCAGGGGUCCGCAAACUCAGCUGGAAGUGUCAGGAGCACAGCAGUGGAGACCUGGACCUGGUUAAGGUAACUGAAUCCAGGAGAAGCCCAGAGGUUUGCCUGGGACAACCCUGCAGGGGUCCGCAAACUCAGCUGGAAGUGUCAGGAGCACAGCAGUGGAGACCUGGACCUGGUUAAGGUAACUGAAUCCAGGAGAAGCCCAGAGGUUUGCCUGGGACAACCCUGCAGGGGUCCGCAAACUCAGCUGGAAGUGUCAGGAGCACAGCAGUGGAGACCUGGACCUGGUUAAGGUAACUGAAUCCAGGAGAAGCCCAGAGGUUUGCCUGGGACAACCCUGCAGGGGUCCGCAAACUCAGCUGGAAGUGUCAGGAGCACAGCAGUGGAGACCUGGACCUGGUUAAGGUAACUGAAUCCAGGAGAAGCCCAGAGGUUUGCCUGGGACAACCCUGCAGGGGUCCGCAAACUCAGCUGGAAGUGUCAGGAGCACAGCAGUGGAGACCUGGACCUGGUUAAGGUAACUGAAUCCAGGAGAAGCCCAGAGGUUUGCCUGGGACAACCCUGCAGGGGUCCGCAAACUCAGCUGGAAGUGUCAGGAGCACAGCAGUGGAGACCUGGACCUGGUUAAGGUAACUGAAUCCAGGAGAAGCCCAGAGGUUUGCCUGGGACAACCCUGCAGGGGUCCGCAAACUCAGCUGGAAGUGUCAGGAGCACAGCAGUGGAGACCUGGACCUGGUUAAGGUAACUGAAUCCAGGAGAAGCCCAGAGGUUUGCCUGGGACAACCCUGCAGGGGUCCGCAAACUCAGCUGGAAGUGUCAGGAGCACAGCAGUGGAGACCUGGACCUGGUUAAGGUAACUGAAUCCAGGAGAAGCCCAGAGGUUUGCCUGGGACAACCCUGCAGGGGUCCGCAAACUCAGCUGGAAGUGUCAGGAGCACAGCAGUGGAGACCUGGACCUGGUUAAGGUAACUGAAUCCAGGAGAAGCCCAGAGGUUUGCCUGGGACAACCCUGCAGGGGUCCGCAAACUCAGCUGGAAGUGUCAGGAGCACAGCAGUGGAGACCUGGACCUGGUUAAGGUAACUGAAUCCAGGAGAAGCCCAGAGGUUUGCCUGGGACAACCCUGCAGGGGUCCGCAAACUCAGCUGGAAGUGUCAGGAGCACAGCAGUGGAGACCUGGACCUGGUUAAGGUAACUGAAUCCAGGAGAAGCCCAGAGGUUUGCCUGGGACAACCCUGCAGGGGUCCGCAAACUCAGCUGGAAGUGUCAGGAGCACAGCAGUGGAGACCUGGACCUGGUUAAGGUAACUGAAUCCAGGAGAAGCCCAGAGGUUUGCCUGGGACAACCCUGCAGGGGUCCGCAAACUCAGCUGGAAGUGUCAGGAGCACAGCAGUGGAGACCUGGACCUGGUUAAGGUAACUGAAUCCAGGAGAAGCCCAGAGGUUUGCCUGGGACAACCCUGCAGGGGUCCGCAAACUCAGCUGGAAGUGUCAGGAGCACAGCAGUGGAGACCUGGACCUGGUUAAGGUAACUGAAUCCAGGAGAAGCCCAGAAGUUUGCCUGGGACAACCCUGCAGGGGUCCGCAAACUCAGCUGGAAGUGUCAGGAGCACAGCAGUGGAGACCUGGACCUGGUUAAGGUAACUGAAUCCAGGAGAAGCCCAGAGGUUUGCCUGGGACAACCCUGCAGGGGUCCGCAAACUCAGCUGGAAGUGUCAGGAGCACAGCAGUGGAGACCUGGACCUGGUUAAGGUAACUGAAUCCAGGAGAAGCCCAGAGGUUUGCCUGGGACAACCCUGCAGGGGUCCGCAAACUCAGCUGGAAGUGUCAGGAGCACAGCAGUGGAGACCUGGACCUGGUUAAGGUAACUGAAUCCAGGAGAAGCCCAGAGGUUUGCCUGGGACAACCCUGCAGGGGUCCGCAAACUCAGCUGGAAGUGUCAGGAGCACAGCAGUGGAGACCUGGACCUGGUUAAGGUAACUGAAUCCAGGAGAAGCCCAGAGGUUUGCCUGGGACAACCCUGCAG